UUUGUAAACUGAGGUUCAUAAAUGUUUCUCACUAGAUAAUUAAUUGCUGCCCUUUCAUGUAGGUAGUAGGCAGAGGAAAGGAAAAUUCUAAUCUCUACCAUUUUAACAACUAUUUUUCUUACCCUUUUUUUCUUAUAACCUCAGGGCUCAAAAAAAAAAAAAGAAUAGAACAGAAAGCAACUUGUAGUUCUGAUUGAUUGACAAUAGAAUACUGCUGGUUUAUGCUCAGAAUGUGUACCUGGAUAUUUGGAAGAAUUUGCCUCAUACAAUCAAAUAAAAAUCAGUUGCUACCCUGAUUUCAUUAACUAUAAUAGCAUUUAUUACAGUGUCAUUUCUACAUCUCAGAUGAAGCUUUUAUCUCAAAAUAGAAUGUGUCCUCAUCUCUUUCUGAGACCUGUUUCAUAGUAAAACAGCUGCCAACACUCAUAAAAGGAAAAAAAAAAAGCUCUUUAAAACUCUGAGGCUAUAUUUAGUACACAAAGCCUUUGUUGAAUACAUUACCAUAUUCUUUGUCAAGCACUUGGUUCCAAUAUACAAGGUGAAUAUAAGAAAGGUAGACUUUGCUAGAUGAAGAGAAAGAAACUGAGACAGAGUAAGUGAGCCACUGACCAUAGAACCCAAGGCACAGCUGCCAAACCCAAGAAAAAUGCUGGAAAAAAAUUACAGAAUAUUAGUGCCAGAGCCAUCUUAUAGUCAUCUAGUGGAAAAAUUACUGAAUGCUAGUGCAGGAGGGAUCUUAGAGUCACCUAAUGUAGUCUUUCCACCCUAGAGAUGAGUAGAUUGAGGCUGAAGCUGAGAAGGAUAAUGCACUGGCUACUAUGUGCUUGAAAUAUGGUUAGCACAACUGAGAGACAAAUUUUAAAUUUUGGUUGCUUUAAGUUCCAACUUCAAUUUCAAGAAGCUCAUAUGCCUAGUGGUUACCUGUCAGACAGGUCGGAGGCCCUUUGUAGAUCCUUCUUUUCAAUGGGGUUUAAAGUCCUGGCCAAUGGGUUAAAACUCAAAAAAGACAAAACUCAUUCAAAAUUAACGAAAUCCUCAAAACCUUCUGAAACCAUCCAAGAGUGAACAUGACAGGCAUUCCCGGGGAAAGUGAUCAAUAAAACAAAAACCUACAAAACCCAAAAACAUUUGUGAGGACUUAAAUUCUGCCUCAGGAGGUGUGCAAAGGGUAAGAAAGAGCCAAAGUGGCACCAGAGACCAGCCAGGGAACAUACUUCUUGUUCUGACUUCUCCACGAGAAUUUUGCCUGAAUGGAGAUGAUGUGAAGGACAGCUUGUGGAGAGGCAAUCAGUGAUGAACAAAAGGGGAGCCACUGAGCAAGAUGGCAGGGUUGGAAAGACCGAGAAGAUCAUCCUGCCCAUCUCCUUUGCGCACCACGCAUGGAAUCGAUGCCAGGAAGAUGAGUGGACAGCGGACACUAAUCAAGUAUAUUGGAUUUUUAUCGGUCUGUUAGCAAGAUGGUGUAUGACCUUGGAAAGCACACUUUAACUGGCUAUCUCACUUGCUUCGUCUGCUUGAAGAAAUGGUAAUGAGACUUGGUUUCAGGUGCUUGGGGGAAGCAUAAGAUGAAAGUGUAAGAUAUCAUCGUCACUUGUUCUUUUUUUCCUUUUCUAUCAGGCCAUCCUUCUCUCUCCUCUUAAUAAGACCAGUCACUUUCAAACUAUAGCCUAGUGUCUAGUUAUAGAAUCGUUCUUUGAAAACAGUCAGGCUAAAUGCUUUUUUUAGCUUCUUUGAAAAUAUAACAAUUGGAGCUAAAAUUAGUGUUGUUCGUGUACUCAAUAGAAAAGGCUUUACAAUAUUUAAAGAAGGAGCAGAACUGUGUGAAGUCCACAGACUCUAAAGAAGUAAAUGUGAGUAAACGCUGAAUUAAGAAUACUCUGAACUAUUCUUAAUUAAAGUUCAAAUGAUUGUGACUCUGGAAGUAUAAUUGCAAGUUACUGUAAUGUCUUUCACUUCUACUAUUUUUCUGCAUGCCAGAAAAUUUGCUUAUUUCCUAACUUCAGGACGACUCCAGAAUAAUUAUCUUUGAGAAGCAUGUUGUUGUAAUAUGACCUUUGUCCUACUCUCCCAUCUAACUUUUCCCCCAUCUACUUUUUAAAUUUCAUCAAUUUAGGAAACUAUACAGUGCUUGCUGUAUAUCCAAUGUUAUACUAAGCACAUUCUAAGUGUUAAGGCUUUUACACAGCACCGUUAGGCAGUAGGUACUAUUAUUAUGUCCAACUUACAAAGGAGAUGAAGAAUCUUGUCCAAGUCCUCGCACUCCUCAUGGCAAAGCUGGGGAAUGAGACAGUAGUUUGGGUCUCUCAAGCGCAAGGCCACACUGCCUCGUUUUAUAUAUAUACUUACAUCAUAUUAAAAACUAGUCUUUCUAAAAUUAACUGACUUGAAAACCUUUUUAGGGACACCUGGAUGGCUCGGUGGCUGAGCAUCUACCUUUGGCUCAGGUCAUGAUUCUGGGUCCUGGGAUCUAGUCCCAUAUCAGGAUCCCUGCAAGGAGCCUGCUUCUCCCUCGGCCUACUCUCUGCUUCUCUUCGUGUGUCUCUCAUGAAUAAAUAAAUAAAAUCUUAAAAAAAAAAGAAAACUUUUUUAGUAGGCCCCAUUUUUAUCUCAGUGUGCUUGCCCAUGCCAUCAGACCCCACUCACUUCACUUCCAAUGAAUCUCAUAUACGUGAAUCAUUUGUCUCAAAAAGAGAUAAGUCACUACUGGAACAAGGAUCAUAAAAGGAGAAAACAUCAAAACCAGUCUCAGUGUGGUGUUGUUCUUUUUGUUUGUUUUUGUUCUUUUACUUUAUUGUUUCUGAAAGUUAAAGGACAGAAAUGGGAAGAAGGUGGACCAGAAACAUCUGGUAGAGGAGAUCCACGAAAGAAGAGAAAGAACAACACAAGGAAUAAAGAAAAGAAAUGUAGAAGAAAGACACAACACAUGUCAGCUUUGCAGAGCCUCCUAACAUGUUCAGUUCUCACAGGACAAAUUUAUUAAGUGCUAAUUAUUUAGAGUCAGUGAGUUGAGAGGUUAAAGAAUAGGUUGGCCUUCAAAUAAAUAUACCUUACUAUCCCAAAAGGAAACAGUCUUGAAUAAGGCCACUGAGCCAAUGUGUAGCCUUUUGUUACUUUUCUUCACUGGCUGGGAAGGACAACCUGAAGCAGAGAGAAUAAGGCUUCAGCUGGAGUUCCGGAGAAACCCUCUAGGAGAGAGAUGGGCAUGACGGCAAACACUUCCUUCUGUGCUGAGCAAAUCCAACGUGAGAGGUUUUGAAUUUGUGUCCUCACCACUGUUGAUAUUUAGAGAUUUUAACACCUCCUCCAUUUGGAUUUAAUGGCAUAUAUCUAACCAUGCAUUUGAACUGCAAGCAAUGUGACUUCAAUCUCAUCAGUUUACAUACACAUGCACUACAUACACACAGACUUCAUUUUCUUCUGGUUUUAUUCGAGACACAAUUGACCUACAUCACUGUGUAAGUUACAGGUGUGCAGCAAAAUGGCUUGAUGCAAAUAUAUUGUGAAAUGAUCACUACUAUAAUUUUAGUUAUUUAGCAAGCCCAGCAUCUUAUAGAGAUACAAUAAAAAAAAAAAGAAACAAAAAUUGUUUUUCCUUGGGACGAGAACUCUUAGGAUCUAUCCUCUUAAAAAAAAAAAAAAAAAAAAAAA
rnacentral:lncRNA from 1 species